rnacentral:rRNA from 1 species
GACGAACGCUGGCGGCGCGCCUAACACAUGCAAGUCGAACGAGAGAGAGGAAGCUUGCUUCCUCAAUCGAGUGGCGAACGGGUGAGUAACGCGUGAGGAACCUGCCUCAAAGAGGGGGACAACAGUUGGAAACGACUGCUAAUACCGCAUAAGCCCACAGGUCGGCAUCGACCAGAGGGAAAAGGAGCAAUCCGCUUUGAGAUGGCCUCGCGUCCGAUUAGCUAGUUGGUGAGGUAAUGGCCCACCAAGGCGACGAUCGGUAGCCGGACUGAGAGGUUGAACGGCCACAUUGGGACUGAGACACGGCCCAGACUCCUACGGGAGGCAGCAGUGGGGAAUAUUGCACAAUGGGGGAAACCCUGAUGCAGCGACGCCGCGUGGAGGAAGAAGGUCUUCGGAUUGUAAACUCCUGUUGUUGAGGAAGAUAAUGACGGUACUCAACAAGGAAGUGACGGCUA